ensembl:lncRNA
CGAAUGAUGACGACAUCAUCACGAUGCGCGCGACGCAGCAAAUAGGAGCCGGUAAUGAGAGCGUGUCCAAUUAGAGAACCAACACCGCGGGGGCAAUCAUCAUUAUUGACAACGACAGCAUGAAGCGUCCUCCUUUGCACUGGAGCCAUUGAUGUCACAUGACCUGCAUCACAUGACAUCGGAUCUGAGUGUCUGCUCCUGCGUUUGAGGGAUCAGACAUUACAAGGUCCGGGCUUUAUUAACGACAACGCACCAUGAACCCUCGCACCGGGAAAAAGGUGUAAGGAGCCUCUGAAAGAAGAGUGUGCGCCGCUUUAGCGCUGUUGACUGAUCCACACACGGUGGAUGGGUUGAGGUUAGCUACCACUCGAGGAGCGGUUAAGGCGUCGCUCGGUCCUCACCCUUGGGAGGAGAAGCUAGCUUAGUUCAUGUUUCAUCGCAGGCUUGUUCAUGCCAUGCCAGGGUAUGGCUGUCCCCUAUACGGCAAACUUCCAACCCGACCUCUGACCUCCAAUACCCGGCCAGCCUCCAACCCAACCUCUGACCUGGAGCUGAGGUGUUGGGUCAAGUGUCUUUGCUACUGUAAUGUGCACUCGAUGCUACUGCCGAUGUAACUCUCAGCUACAGCUGAUGUAGCUCUGUGCUACAGCUGAUGUAGCUCUGUGCUACAGCCGAUGUAGCUCGGUGCUACAGCUGAUGUAGCUCAAUGCUACAGCUGGUGUAGCUCAAUGCUACAGCUGGUGUAGCUCUGUGCUACAGCUGAUGUAGCUCUCUGCUACCGCUCUUGUAGCUCUGUGCUACAGCUGAUAUAGCUCUCUGCUAAAUCAGCUGAUGUGGCCCUCUGCUACUAAUGAUGUAGCUCUCUGCUACAGCUAAUGUAUCUCUCUGCAGGUUGAAUGAUAUGCAUGUUUAGUAUACGUUAUAUCACAUACAGGAGUAUACAUGAGUCACAGAGAGCGUGUUGAUCGGUUGACUGGAUCUUGGUAAAAUAUUAUUGAAUCAUGGUUGAUAAGCUUUUAUGUUUCUGAAAUGUAUAUUUUAAUGCUUGUGUAAAACAAUGGAA